CAGUGCCGCGGGAAUACAGAGGCCUCAAGCGUUGUUCGGAUUCAUUGGGCGUAAAGAGUGCGUAGGUGGCUUGGUAAGUUGAAGGUGAAAUCUCGGGGCUUAACUCCGAAACUGCCUUCAAUACUGCUAGGCUCGAGGACUGUAGAGGAGAAUGGAAUUCACGGUGUAGCAGUGAAAUGCGUAGAUAUCGUGAGGAAGACCAGUGGCGAAGGCGAUUCUCUGGGCAGUUCCUGACACUGAGGCACGAAGGCCAGGGGAGCAAACGGGAUUAGAUACCCGCGUAGUCCCUGUCUCUUAUACA
rnacentral:rRNA from 1 species